UCCAAUUCAUCAAAAUAUGAAGACGCGUC
rnacentral:sRNA from 1 species